CAAUCGGCCCUUUUCAGGGCCACCAAUUAUUUUUAACGUAGAGCAAU
rfam:Trichomalopsis sarcophagae strain Alberta scaffold8755, whole genome shotgun sequence.